ensembl:lincRNA
AUAUAUGGGGGAUAACUUCAAUUCCUCUGCAUUUACUGAACACAUUCUAUGAACAAGUCUAUUUUGGAGAAUGACCCAUGUACAGCUGAAAAGAAUGUAUGUUCCGUAAACAUCUGCUAAAUUAAUUUGUACAGGAGUUUUGCUAAGUUCUGGCAUUUCAUUGUUGCUGGUGUUGUUUUUCAGAUUUGCAGGUGGAAAUUUAUUUGGAAAACCAACAAUUGUAAUAUAAACAGAAAAUCUCCUCUCCUUUGUAAUAAAGGAUCAGAAUAAUAUAAAGAAACUUCAACAAAAUAGGACAUCUCUAAUUUGCAAAUAUUCAUAAGAAUGUGGGAAGCAUAGUAGAGAAAAAUCAAGGGUAAGCAUUAUCAUUUACCCAAAGCUUAAUUCUUAACAACACUUAUACAUUUUUACACAUAACACAUGUAAUGUAGAACUUAAGAAGCAUCAAUAUUUAUAUUUUCAGAAAUAAUGAACAAUACAUUCAUCCUCAUAUUUCAGAGCUUGAAGUUAUAACUGUUGGAAUUUGUAGAUGGAAGUGGUAAAAUGUUUAGAAGGGAAAGUUGGCUGGUCCUGGCCAUAACCUUGCUGAAGAAUGGUUUUUGGCCAUUUGGUGGGACCAGGCAGCUGUGCUUCCCUCUGCCUGCAUGCCACCAGCCCGAGCAAGGAAGGCAAGAUUUGGAAGGCUGCUCUGAGAUCUGCGCUCCCUUCAGCCCGCUUGAGCCCAUUCAGUGGGACCAGGUAGCUGCACCCUCCCCUGCCUUCUCUGCCAACAGCACCAGCAAGGAAGGUAGCCACACGGGUGCCCCUGAAGCCCCCCCCACUCUCAGACCUCCUGAUUGGGCCAGUCCUUGGACCCACUCUGCAGAGGCAUAGGUGGUCAUAAAGGGUCUUUUUCUGAGCUCCCAACUUUGAACAUCUUUAAAGAAAGAGCAGGGGAAACCUGUUAUAGAACUGUGUGAAGUUCAACCCUGCAGGUCUGGAAACUCAAUCUGGGCCUUGCAGCCUGAGGUCAGUCUGCCAUUGACUAGCUGAGAUCAGGGGACUUCGUUCUGCACAUGGCUAUGCAUGUGGUACAUUAUGACAGCAGAGAUAUAGUCUGAAAGAGGCCCUUCAAAUUCAUUUUUUCUUUCUUUUUCUCAUUCCACUCUGCAAAUUCUAUUUUCUGUCCUUUCUCCAACUCAAUCUCUUGCUCCACCAUAUUAUCCUUUAUCUCCCUUUCUGUUCCUGCUCCUGUCCUAACUCAGACUUCUUAUUCUAUCAUUUUUUCUUUUUUCUUUAUGAUCUUUUUUUCUGUCAUUUUACCUCACUCAUGGGCCAAUAGUUUCAAGGGAAAGUGAGACCCUAUUACUGUUAAGGGAAUAUAUUCUUGUCCUUAUUCUUGCACUCUGUCUAUCCCUUUUCAAUUUAAUAGUUUCAUAAAGAUUGUGUGGUCAUUCUAUGUCCUCUAGCUUCACUUGAAACCUUCUCCAAUUCUUUCACUUGUCUACUUCUCUCAUCCUAACUGUCUAAGCCCCCAUCCUAAAUGAUAAAGAUGCUAUAUUGAAAGGCAUAUUCACUGCAAACAUAUUUUGGGCCGCU